CCUACGGGGGGCAGCAGUGGGGAAUAUUGCGCAAUGGGCGAAAGCCUGACGCAGCGACGCCGCGUGAGGGAUGAAGGUCCUCGGAUCGUAAACCUCUGUCAGCAGGGAAGAACGGUCACUGUGCUAAUCAGCAGUGAAUUGACGGUACCUGCAAGGGAAGCACCGGCUAACUCCGUGCCAGCAGCCGCGGUAAUACGGAGGGUGCGUGCGUUAAUCGGAAUUACUGGGCGUAAAGCGCUCGUAGGCGGUAUGUCAAGUCAAGGGGGAAAUCCCCGCGCUCAACGUGGGAACUGCCUUUGAAACUGGCAAACUGGAGUGUGUGAGAGGAUAGUGGAAUUCCAGGUGUAGGAGUGAAAUGCGUAGAUAUCUGGAGGAACAUCAGUUGCGAAGGCGACUAUCUGGCACAUAACUGACGCUGAGGAGCGAAAGCGUGGGUAGCAAACAGGAUUAGAUACCCGGGUAGUC
rnacentral:rRNA from 1 species